rnacentral:sRNA from 1 species
UUGUUAUCAACAUAGUUCCUUAUAUAUUCAAGGUGUUAGCUCUUCCACCUUGAAUAUAUAAGGAACUAUGUUGAUAACAA